rnacentral:rRNA from 1 species
GACUAACGCUGGCGGCGUGCUUAACACAUGCAAGUCGAACGGUAAGGCCCUUCGGGGUACACGAGUGGCGAACGGGUGAGUAACACGUGGGUGAUCUGCCCUGCACUUCGGGAUAAGCCUGGGAAACUGGGUCUAAUACCGGAUAGGACUCCGGACUGCAUGGGCUGGGGUGGAAAGCUUUUGCGGUGUGGGAUGGGCCCGCGGCCUAUCAGCUUGUUGGUGGGGUGAUGGCCUACCAAGGCGACGACGGGUAGCCGGCCUGAGAGGGUGACCGGCCACACUGGGACUGAGAUACGGCCCAGACUCCUACGGGAGGCAGCAGUGGGGAAUAUUGCACAAUGGGCGCAAGCCUGAUGCAGCGACGCCGCGUGAGGGAUGACGGCCUUCGGGUUGUAAACCUCUUUCAGCAUCGACGAAGCGAAAGUGACGGUAGGUGCAGAAGAAGGACCGGCCAACUACGUGCCAGCCGCCGCGGUAA